rnacentral:rRNA from 1 species
AUGCAAGUCGAGCGGCUGACAGGACUUGCUGCUUGAUUCGUGGGCAGAGGGGUAAGUAAUGCCUAUGAAUCUGCCUCUACUCGGGGGACAACGUUUCGAAAGGAAAACUUAUACCGCAAACGUCCUACAGGAGAAAGCGAGGGACCUUCAGGCCUUGCCCUUUCACAUGAGCCUAAGUCGAAUUAGCUUUUUGGUGGUGUAAUGGCUCACCCCCGCCACGAUCCCUAUCUGGUCUGAGACGAAGAUCAUUCUCACUGGAACUGAAACUGAGACCAGACUCCUACUGGAGGCGGAAGUGGGGAAGAUUGAAAAAGGAGCGAGGGCCUGAUCCUGACCUGCCCCGUGUGUGAGGAAGGUCAUCGGAUUGUAAAUCACUUUCCCUUUUGAUGAAAGGCAAUUCCUUAAGACCUUGCUGUUUUGACGUUGCCGACACAAUAAGCACCGGCUAACUCUGUGCCAGCGCCCGCGGUAAUACAAAGGGUGCAGGCGUUAAUCUUAAUUACAGUUACUGAACCUCGCGUAUGUGGUUUGUUAAGUUUAAUGUGAAUGCCCCGGUCUCAACGUGAGAAGCUGCAUGCUAAAAGUGGGCAAGCUAGAGUACUAGUAGAGUGGUGGUGGUAUUUCGUGUGUAGCUGAGAAGUGUAGUAGAUAUAGGAAAGAACACCAGUGGAGAAGGGCGACCACGUGGACUGAUAGUGACAGUGAGGUGAGAGAGCGUGGGGAGCACACAGGAUUAGAUACCGGUAGUAGUACACGCUGUAAGCGAUGUCAACUAGCCGUUGGACUCCUUGAGAUGCUAGUGGCGCAGCUAACGCAUUAAGUUGACGCCUUGGGGAGUACGUCCGCAAGGUUAAAAUUCAAAUGAAUUGACGGGGGCCGGCACAAGCGGUGGAGCAUGUGGUUUAAUUGGAAGCAACGGGAGGACCUUACCCAGCCCUUGCCAUGCAGAGAACUUUCCAAAGAUGGAUUGGUGCUUUGGGGAAUUGAAACCCAGGUGUGCCAUGGCGUUGUUCAGUUGGUUUCUUGAGAUGUUGGGUUAAGUCCGCAAACGAGCCCACCCUUUUUCUUUAGUUACCACCAGUUUUUGGUGGGCAUUUUAAGGAGACGGCCGGGGACAAACCGGAGGAAGGUGGGGAGGAGGUCAAUUCUUCAUGGCCCUUAGGGCAUGGGUUCCACACUUGUUCCAAUGGUGGGUACAGAGGGUGCACAAGCCGGGAGGUGGAGCUAUUCUCACAAAACCGUUUCUAUUCCGGAUGGCGUUUUGAAAUUGGAUUGCGGGAAUUGGGAAUCGUUGGUAUUGCAGAUUCAGAAUGUCGCGGUGAAUACGUUCCCGGGCCUUGUACACACCGCCCGUCACACCAUGGGAGUGGGUUGCUACUCAGAAGCAGGUAGUUUAACCUUCGGGAGGACG